UAGGGAAUUUUCGUCAAUGGGCGCAAGCCUGAACGAGCAAUGCCGCGUGAACGAGGAAGGUCUUCGGAUCGUAAAAGUUCUGUUGAAGGGGAAAAAGAGCGGAGAGAGGAAAUGGUCUCCGAUUGAUAUUACCCUUCGAGGAAGUCACGGCUAACUACGUGCC
rnacentral:rRNA from 1 species